rnacentral:rRNA from 1 species
UACGAAGGGGGCUAGCGUUGUUCGGAAUUACUGGGCGUAAAGCGCGCGUAGGCGGAUUUGCCAGUCAGGGGUGAAAUGCCAGGGCUUAACCUUGGAACUGCCUUUGAUACUGCAAGUCUGGAGUACGGGAGAGGUGAGUGGAAUUCCCAGUGUAGCGGUGAAAUGCGUAGAUAUUGGGAGGAACACCAGUGGCGAAGGCGGCUCACUGGACCGGAACUGACGCUGAGGCGCGAAAGCGUGGGGAGCAAACAGG